GAUGAACGCUGACAGAAUGCUUAACACAUGCAAGUCUACUUGAAGCUAACUUCGGUUAGUGGAGGGUGGCGGACGGGUGAGUAACGCGUAAAGAACUUGCCUCACAGUUUGGACAACAUUUGGAAACGAAUGCUAAUACUAAAUAUUAUGAUACUUCUGCAUGGAAGAAUCAUGAAAGCUAUAUGCGCUGUGAGAGAGCUUUGCGUCCCAUUAGCUAGUUGGAGAGGUAACGGCUCACCAAGGCGAUGAUGGGUAGCCGGCCUGAGAGGGUGAACGGCCACAAGGGGACUGAGACACGGCCCUUACUCCUACGGGAGGCAGCAGUGGGGAAUAUUGGACAAUGGACCAAAAGUCUGAUCCAGCAAUUCUGUGUGCAUGAUGAAGUUUUUCGGAAUGUAAAGUGCUUUCAGUUGGGAAGAAGCAAGUGACGGUACCAACAGAAGAAGCGACGGCUAAAUACGUGCCAGCAGCCGCGGUAAUACGUAUGUCGCAAGCGUUAUCCGGAUUUAUUGGGCGUAAAGCGCGUCUAGGUGGUUAUGUAAGUCUGAUGUGAAAAUGCGGGGCUCAACUCCGUAUUGCGUUGGAAACUGUAUGACUAGAGUACUGGAGAGGUAAGCGGAACUACAAGUGUAGAGGUGAAAUUCGUAGAUAUUUGUAGGAAUGCCGAUGGGGAAGCCAGCUUACUGGACAGAUACUGACGCUAAAGCGCGAAAGCGUGGGUAGCAAACAGG
rnacentral:rRNA from 1 species